UCGUGAGACAGGUUAGUUUUACCCUACUGAUGAAGGUUAUCGCAAUAGUAAUUGAACUUAGUACGAGAGGAACAGUUCAUUCAGAUAAUUGGUUUUUGCGGCUGUCUGAUCAGGCAUUGCCGCGAAGCUACCAUCUGCUGGAUUAUGGCUGAACGCCUCUAAGUCAGAAUCCAUGCUAGAAAGCGAUGAUUGUUGCUGCACCAUAUUUAGAUGGAUACGAAUAAGGCGUCCUUGUGGCGUCGCUGGACCAUAGAAGGCCUGCGGUGGUGCGUUUAGCGGAAAGGCUUUGCGUGCUUGCGGGCGGAUAGCAAUGUUAUUUGUGGUGUGGAUAAAUCAUUUGUAAACGACUUAGAUGUACAACGGGGUAUUGUAAGCAG
rnacentral:rRNA from 1 species